rnacentral:rRNA from 1 species
CAGUCGCCACGGUAAUACGUAGGGCGCAAGCGUUGUCCGGAAUUAUUGGGCGUAAAGAGCUCGUAGGCGGUCUGUCGCGUCUGGUGUGAAAUCCCGAGGCUCAACCUCGGGCUUGCAUCGGGUACGGGCAGACUAGAGUGCGGUAGGGGAGACUGGAAUUCCUGGUGUAGCGGUGGAAUGCGCAGAUAUCAGGAGGAACACCGAUGGCGAAGGCAGGUCUCUGGGCCGCAACUGACGCUGAGGAGCGAAAGCAUGGGGAGCGAACAGGAUUAGAGACCCCUGUAGUCCCUGUCUCUUAUAC